GAUGAAGAACGUAGCGAAAUGCGAUAAGUAAUGUGAAUUGCAGAAUUCAGUGAAUCAUCGAAUCUUUGAACGCACAUUGCGCCCGCCAGUAUUCUGGCGGGCAUGCCUGUUCGAGCGUCAUUUCAACCCUCAGGGCCCUUUUGGACCUGGCGUUGGGGCUCGGCCGCUACCCUGCGGCCGUCCCCGAAAGAUAGUGGCGGUCUCGCUGUAGCCUCCUCUGCGUAGUAGUUACAUCUCGCACUGGAACGCGGCGCGGUCAUGCCGUUAAACACCCCACUUCUCAAGGUUGACCUCGGAUCAGGUAGGAAUACCCGCUGAACUUAAGCAUAUCAAUAAGCGGAGGA
rnacentral:misc_RNA from 1 species